rnacentral:miRNA from 1 species
GCAGACACAUUCCAGCCAAUAAGCAGCAGACCCUCCCUCCAAGACCCUCCCACCUCCUGGACAGCAUCCAUUUUGAAGCUGCAUUCUUAGUGAGCUGUCCAGGAGGUGGGAGGGUCUGGGAGAGAGGGUCUGCUGCUGAUUGGCUGGAAUGUGUCUG